rnacentral:rRNA from 1 species
UGGGGAAUAUUGCACAAUGGGCGCAAGCCUGAUGCAGCCAUGCCGCGUGUGUGAAGAAGGCCUUCGGGUUGUAAAGCACUUUCAGCGGGGAGGAAGGCGGUGAGGUUAAUAACCUCAUCGAUUGACGUUACCCGCAGAAGAAGCACCGGCUAACUCCGUGCCAGCAGCCGCGGUAAUACGUAGGUGGCAAGCGUUGUCCGGAUUUAUUGGGCGUAAAGCGAGCGCAGGCGGUUUCUUAAGUCUGAUGUGAAAGCCCCCGGCUCAACCGGGGAGGGUCAUUGGAAACUGGGAGACUGGAGUGCAGAAGAGGAGAGUGGAAUUCCAUGUGUAGCGGUGAAAUGCGUAGAUAUAUGGAGGAACACCAGUGGCGAAGGCGGCUCGCUGGUCUGUAACUGACGCUGAGGGUCGAAAGCGUGGGGAGCAAACAGG